rnacentral:rRNA from 1 species
UGGAGGCAGCAGUGGGGAAUUGUUCGCAAUGGGCGCAAGCCUGACGACGCAACGCCGCGUGGAGGAUGAAGAUCUUCGGGUCGUAAACUCCUUUCGAUCGGGACGAACGUGUUCCGGGUGAACAACCUGGGACAGUGACGGUACCGAGAGAAGAAGCCCCGGCUAACUCCGUGCCAGCAGCCGCGGUAAUACGGGGGGGGCAAGCGUUGUUCGGAAUUACUGGGCGUAAAGGGCUCGUAGGCGGCCAACUAAGUCAGACGUGAAAUCCCUCGGCUUAACCGGGGAACUGCGUCUGAUACUGGUUGGCUUGAGUUUGGGAGAGGGAUGCGGAAUUCCAGGUGUAGCGGUGAAAUGCGUAGAUAUCUGGAGGAACACCGGUGGCGAAGGCGGCAUCCUGGACCAACACUGACGCUGAGGAGCGAAAGCCAGGGGAGCAAACGGGAUUAGAUACCCCGGU